CCUACGGGAGGCAGCAGUGAGGAAUAUUGGUCAAUGGGCGCAAGCCUGAACCAGCCAAGCCGCGUGCAGGAUGACGGCUCUACGGGUUGUAAACUGCUUUUAUACGGGAAUAACGCGCCUUACGUGUAGGGCUUUGCAUGUACCGUAUGAAUAAGGACCGGCUAAUUCCGUGCCAGCAGCCGCGGUAAUACGGAAGGUCCGAGCGUUAUCCGGAUUUAUUGGGUUUAAAGGGAGCGUAGGCCGCAUGUCAAGCGUGCUGUGAAAUGUCCGGGCUCAACCCGGGCCUUGCAGCGCGAACUGUCGGGCUUGAGUGCGCGGAAGGCAGGCGGAAUUCGUGGUGUAGCGGUGAAAUGCGUAGAUAUGACGAAGAACACCGAUUGCGAAGGCAGCUUGCUGCAGCGGAACUGACGCUGAUGCUCGAAAGCGCGGGUAGCGAACAGGAUUAGAUACCCCUGUAGUC
rnacentral:rRNA from 1 species